UGCUCCCCGCUCGCUUCGCGCGUCUGCCUGCGGCCAAGGCCGCGCCCGCGACUAAGGCGGGGCCUGGCGCCUGCCCGCGUUCCCAUUGGUCCGGCUCUGUGACGUCACCAAGGCGAGGCGGAGGGCCGCGCGAGGCUACCAUGGCAACCGCGGUAAACACACGGCGGGCUUGAAGUUUGGCUGGAGGCCCAAGCGAUCUUUCAGCGAGGCUCCUGAGAGAGCUUGAUGUAGAACGAAUUUUCCUGAAAAAAGGAGUAGGACUGUACCCAUGCUCAAGAUUCUAGAGACCAAAUGGCCGAUUAAACUUUGAGACCGCGGAAAACGAGACUGUUGCAGACCCAGAGCCAAGUUAUCUCGGGCUCUUUUAGUCCCUUUAAAAGCCAUCCAUUGCCCAACCUGUUUCCUUCUGAUUAUCCAAACCUGUUAAAUGUAUUCCUAGCAGACCACGAACUUCCACCCACCUAAUAGCCAAGAAAGCCAUCUGACAGCAGCUGAAGCCCACAGCAGGUCUUUCUCACCUUGGCUACAACUGGCUUACUUACUGUGUCCGAUAAAUGCCUUGAUUUGUGACUUCACUGGUUCUGUAUUUAAUAAUCUCCUAUAAUAGCUUUCA